rnacentral:rRNA from 1 species
CACACGAGUUUGAUCCUGGCUCAGAAUGAACGUUGGCGGCGUGGAUUAGGCAUGCAAGUCGAGGGAGAACCCGCAAGGGGGACACCGGCGAACGGGUAGGAUCACCUCGGUGACGUACCCUCCGGACGGGGAUAGCGACGGGAAACUGUCGGUAAUACCCGAUGAUCUGGCGAGCUUUUGAGGCUUGUCAGCAAAGGUGAGAUUCCACCGGAGGAGCGGCUGAGGCGCUAUUAGCUAGUUGGGGAGGUAACGGCUCACCAAGGCGACGAUGGCUAGGGGGUGUGAGAGCAUGGCCCCCACCACUGGCACUGAGACACUGGCCAGACACCUACGGGUGGCUGCAGUCGAGAAUCUUCGGCAAUGGGCGCAAGCCUGACCGAGCGACGCCGCGUGCGGGAUGAAGGUCUUCGGAUUGUAAACCGCUGUCGGAGGGGAUGAAGUGUACGGGGGCUAUCCCCUGUAUUUGACAGAGCCUCGGAGGAAGCACGGGCUAAGUUCGUG